GAAACCCCUUGCAUUCCUAACAAAGACGAACACGCGGACUGAAUUUAAGGUGAUUCUCCUGACAAUAGGCUACACUGGAUAAAGGUUUGUGAUGACGAUGAUGCUGCAGCCAUCCAAGAGGCCAUCACUUCAUUUGUGCUCAACAUCUUUGUGGUCAGCAAAGCCAGGGAUGGAGGUCUCGAGAAGAAAGUUGGAAUAGCCAUUGAGGGAGCGGAGGUCCUUUUUUGCAUUCCCAGUGUAGCACAUGCUUGCUCCUACCUUAUGGGCCUUAUUUAUGCUUUGGAACUAAGCUACCCAGAGAAACUUAAAUACACCUUUGAGGUAUUUCAGAAGAUCUUCCUGGAGCUGGAGGAUGUUAACAAAAACAUGUCCUCCAAAAUCCACG